rnacentral:lncRNA from 10 species
GGCUGGGCCAGGCUGUGGUGCGUCCAAACACCUGCCCUCUGGGCAGGUCGGUGGUGUCAGUCAUUUCAAGGGUUUCUCAAUGGACCAGAGAAGUGUGUCAGAUGGCCAGAGGAAACGGACAAAGCUCUAUGACCCGAACAAGCUCUUCGGGGAAUUUAAAUUUGCUUUUCCUGACAUGACUCCACUAUCAUCCCUACCCCUGAACUUACAGGGCAUCCACACUUCAGUCUCAGCAGGUUUGUUUUGUGUGUGUGUGUGUCUGUGUGUAACUCUGUGUGUGUGUCUGGGUGUGUGUGUCCGUGUGUGUCUGUGUGUCUGUGUGUGUCCGUGUAUGUCUCUGUGUGUCUGUGUGUGUGUCCGUGUGUGUCUCUGUGCAUCUGUGUGUGUGUCUGUGUGUCUGUGUGUCUCUGUGCAUCUAUGUGUGUGUCUGUGUGUGUCUGUGUGUGUGUCUCUGUGCGUCUGUGUGUGUCUGUGUGUGUGUCUGUGUGUGUCUGUGUGUGUGUCUCUGUGCGUCUGUGUGUCUGUGUGUGUCUGUGUGUGUGUGUCCAUGUGUGUCCGUGUGUGUCUCUCUGUGUCUGUGUGUGUCUGUGUGUGUGUCCGUGUGUGUCUGUGUGUAUGUUUUUGUUUGUUUUGAAACACGGUCUUGCUCUGUCGCCCAAGCUGGAGGGCAAUGGUGCGAUCACAGCUCACUGCCGCCUUGACCUCCUGGGCUCAAGCGAUCCUCCCAUCUCAGCCUCCGGACUAGCUGGCACCGCAGGUCUGAGUCACCACUUCUAGCUAAUUUUUGUAUUUUUUGUAGAGAUAGGGUCUUGCUAUGUUGCCCAGGAUUAUCUUGAACUCCUAGGGUCAAGUGAUCCUCCUGCCUCAGCCUCCCAUAGUGUUGGGAUUACAGGUGUGAGCCACCAUGCUCAGCCAGCAUCUUUAUUAACAUCAGAUUUUGUUUUUUUCUUUUUGAGACAGAGUUUCGCUCUUGUUGCCCAGGCUGGAGUGCAGUGGCGCGAUCUCGGCUCACCGCAACCUCCACCUACUGGGUUCAAGUGAUUCUCCUACCUCAGCCUCCUGAGUAGCUGGGACUACAGGCAUGUACCACCAUGCCCAGCUAAUUUUGUAUUUUUAGUAGAGAUGGGGUUUCACCAUGUUGGUCAGGCUGGUCUCAAACUCCUGACCUCAGGUGAUCUGCCCAUCUCAGCCUCCCAAAGUGCUGGGAUUACAGGCAUAAGCCACCACACCUGACCAGCAUAUUUAUUUAUUUAUUUAUUUAUUUAUUUAUUUAUUUAUCCUUUGAGAAGGAGUU